CUGACAGGUGCAGGGCCCUGCCCCUCGAGGGCCAGCCUCUCCCUCGGGAGCGUGGGUUUUUCCUGUUUGAUCCUGGCUUAACUUGAACAUCUCUGGCAUUGGAGCUGCCCUCUGGAGUAGCCCAGAAGUUGGCACUCACCUCACCUUUUGCUGCAUUUCCAAGAGAUCAGCCUUUGGACUUCCUGGAAAGUGGUAGAACCACUGUCCUAUGAAACAAAGUGCUUCUGUGCUGAAAUGGAGUAAGUUCCCUGCAGCCUCUGGCAAGGUAACCUACCGAGCACCUCCUGGAGUAGGUGUUCCUAUCAUCCUCUCUUUAUAGCUCAGGAGCCAAAGCUCAGCCAGCCCGAAGGAGCCAGGAUUAGAGCCUGCAUGGAUGCAACAGUCACGCUUCUCUCUAUUACGUGUCUUGCAACUUGGAGUCACAUGAUCUCAGCAUCUGAUCCACCCUGGGCUCAGAACCUCCCAGAACCUCCCAGAAUCGAGGCUCACGGCAGAGGUUCUGCACUCACCAAGGACGCGGGGGGACCAUGUCUGUGCUCAUGUGGAUCCCCGCUGCUGGGCAGAGCACACCACACAUCCAGACUCAACAAAAUACAUGGAGUCAAAGGUCAGGUGACUGAAUCAAUGAGUAUGUUACACACCAAGAAAGACCCCUCCUCUCUGCACCCCGGGGAGCAGCCCCAGAAGCCUGGUCUCCUCCAGGAUGAAAAUGCAAACGCAGGUGCCUGGGGGCUCCCAGAGCCUUUGGCUUCACGGUUCCCUCCCGGCCCUGCCUGGAGCUUCAUGUGCCUCCCCUUUUGCUUAAUGAGAGC
ensembl:lncRNA novel transcript, antisense to MBP